rnacentral:tRNA from 1 species
ACCCAACUGGCUCAGUUGGUGGAAUGCUGACUUUUGACCUCAGGGUUAUGGGUUCAAGCCCCACGUUGGGUG